rnacentral:ncRNA from 2 species
AGUUUAUUAAGAGCGGCGGUUAGAGGCCUGGCUCGUUGACCCGCCCAGCAACUUGUUUGCGAGGCGUUGGAGAAACCCUCCGACAAUCUUGGGAUAAAGUGCUAAAUCCAGCCCCGCUUGGGGAAGAUAAAUU